UACGUAGGGUGCGAGCGUUAAUCGGAAUUACUGGGCGUAAAGGGUGCGCAGGCGGUCCUGCAAGUCAGGCGUGAAAUCCCCGGGCUUAACCUGGGAAUGGCACUUGAAACUACGGGACUGGAGUAUGGCAGAGGGAGGCGGAAUUCCAGGUGUAGCGGUGAAAUGCGUAGAUAUCUGGAGGAACACCGGUGGCGAAGGCGGCAUCCUGGACCGGCAUUGACGCUGAGGAGCGAAAGCCAGGGGAGCAAACGGG
rnacentral:rRNA from 1 species